rnacentral:rRNA from 1 species
CCUACGGGAGGCAGCAGUAGGGAAUUUUGCGCAAUGGGGGAAACCCUGACGCAGCAAAGCCGCGUGAUUGAUGAAGCCCUUCGGGGUGUACAGCUCUGUCAGUGGGGACGAAACUUGCCGGUACCCACAGAGGAAGCAUCGGCUAACUCCGUGCCAGCAGCCGCGGUAAUACGGGGGAUGCCAGCGUUGUCCGGAAUCAUUGGGCGUAAAGAGUUCGUAGGUGGCACGUUAAGUCUGGUGUUAAAUGCAGAGGCUCAACCUCUGUUUGGCAGUGGAUACUGGCGAGCUUGAAUGCGGGAGAGGUAGAGGGAAUGCCUGGUGUAGCGGUGAAAUGCGUAGAUAUUAGGAGGAACACCAGUGGCGAAGGCGGCUUACUGGACUGUAACUGACGUUGAGGCUCGAAAGCGUGGGGAGCAAACAGGAUUAGAUACCCGUGUAGUC